GUAGUUAGAACUGCCUCUGCAAUGGUGGCCCACAUCUGUAAUGGCAGACUCUCUGUAAUGUGGCUGCCUCCAGGAGAUGAUGGCUGCAUGAGUGCCUGCCAUGUCCCACUGGAAUCAUGAGAGCACGGGGAGCGGGAUGUUGGACCAUGGGGCGAGGCCGGGCCCUGUCCCCCACAGCCAGGAGUGAAGACGUGGAGCUGCCCUUGGAGGAGUAUGUGCCUAAGGGCCUGGAACUGGCCAGCCUGGGGCCAGAGAGCCCCAUGCCCGAGGAGUAGGAGUGCCAUAACCACAGCCCCGAUGGGGACUACAGCUCCAACUAUGUGAACAACAGCCCCAAGGAGGAGGACUAUGACGAGGGCUCAUAACACUAUACUGGUACACAAUAUGGAUAAGGAGGACAUUGACAGAUUUCCAGGAUUUUACAUAAUUUCUGAAAACAUAACAUUUUACUCAUAUAAAUGUAACCCAGGGAAGGUUAGAUAUCUCUUUUUAUUUGUAUAUUUUGUAUAGUUUUUCUUAUAAAAAAUAUAACCUACUUUACUUGCAAUACUUGCCCUACUUUUCUUUCAUACUCUGGAUAGAGUUGUUUCUAGUUAUUCUACUGUUUCUAGUAGUUUUAUUUAUAUAUAUUGAUUAUAUUUUUAAUACUUAGUAAUCUUUAUUUUCCAGGGUAAACUAGGAAGUAGACAAUUUUAAAUUGACAUAUAUUAACAUUCUAUAGUAGAUUAGACAAUGUAUGAGUAUACAAUCUCCCAACAUCUAGAGGGACGUGUUUCCUCAUAGUACGAUUUCUCAGUGUGGUAGACAAAAAUAAUGUUUAUUAACAGGUCAAAAUAUCUUUAGUCUCUCCAUAAAAAUAGCGGGCAAAAGUAUAUAAAGUUGAAUUAGUUAUGUUCAGUAAUUAGUAUUUUAGUAUUGUAUCUUAUUUACAAAUUAUCUAGAUGUUUAAUGCAAAUCUUUUAGUUAGCUUAACUUCAAGGUUAAAAAUUACCAAAAGUAUUUUGGAAACUAUUAUUAGGCAGAUUUACUGUAAAAAAUUAUUAUUGAAAUAAUGUUUUUAAUAAGAAUAACAACUUAAUUAGAAUCAAAUCUAUAAGCUUUCAGAUUUUAAGUAUCUAGUAAACAUAAUAUUAGCUUAUUUGACUAGAACUCAAGCAGAAUAGAAAUUUGUUUUAUAUUCAAUAGUGAUAGCUCUGAAGACAUAGUUGUCUUAUACUAAAAAUAUUAAAUCGAUCUUUUUAGACU